rnacentral:rRNA from 1 species
UACGGAGGGUGCAAGCGUUGUUCGGAAUCACUGGGCGUAAAGCGCGUGUAGGCGGCUAUUUAAGUCUGAUGUGAAAGCCCUGGGCUUAACCCAGGAAGUGCAUUGGAUACUGGGUAGCUCGAGUACCGGAGAGGAGGGUGGAAUUCCUGGUGUAGCGGUGAAAUGCGUAGAUAUCGGGAGGAACACCGGUGGCGAAGGCGGCGAUCUGGGUUGAUACUGACGCUGAGGUGCGAAAGCGUGGGGAGCAAACAGG